GAUGAAGAACGUAGCGAAAUGCGAUAAGUAAUGCGAAUUGCAGAAUCCGUGAGUCAUCGAAUCUUUGAACGCACCUUGCGCCUUUUGGUAUUCCGAAAGGCACACCUGUUUGAGCGUCAUGAAUACCUCAAUCUCCAUCUUUUCUUCGGAUUGAUGGGUGACUUGGAUGUUGAGCCCUGCUGGUAUGCUAUAUCAGCUGGCUUUAAACUUAUUAGCCGGCUCUGUACUGGAUCGGUUUGACUCGACGUGAUAAUAUUAUCGUUGAGGAUGCAUGUCUCAUGCAGCCGGAAAGUAUCAAAGCAGCUUCUAGCUUGCCUUUAGUGCACUUUUACAUUUUAGACCUCAGAUCAGGUGGGACUACCCGCUGAACUUAAGCAUAUCAAUAAGCGGAGGA
rnacentral:misc_RNA from 1 species